GACGAACGCUGGCGGCGUGCUUAACACAUGCAAGUCGAACGGAAAGGCCCCUUCGGGGGUACUCGAGUGGCGAACGGGUGAGUAACACGUGAGUAACCUGCCCUUGACUUCGGGAUAACUUCAGGAAACUGGGGCUAAUACCGGAUAGGAAUCCUUGCUGCAUGGUGGGGGUUGGAAAGCUUCGGCGGUUUUGGAUGGACUCGCGGCUUAUCAGCUUGUUGGUGGGGUAGUGGCUUACCAAGGCUUUGACGGGUAGCCGGCCUGAGAGGGCGACCGGCCACAUUGGGACUGAGAUACGGCCCAGGCUCCUACGGGAGGCAGCAGUGGGGAAUAUUGCACAAUGGGCGGAAGCCUGAUGCAGCAACGCCGCGUGCGGGAUGACGGCCUUCGGGUUGUAAACCGCUUUCAGCAGGGGCGAAGCUUGUGGUGACGGUACCUGCAGAAGAAGCACCGGCUAACUACGUG
rnacentral:rRNA from 1 species